UACGGAGGGGACUAGCGUUGUUCGGAAUUACUGGGCGUAAAGCGCACGUAGGCGGAUUUGUAAGUCAGGGGUGAAAUCCCGGGGCUCAACCCCGGAACUGCCUUUGAUACUGCAAAUCUCGAGUCCGGAAGAGGUGAGUGGAAUUCCUAGUGUAGAGGUGAAAUUCGUAGAUAUUAGGAAGAACACCAGUGGCGAAGGCGGCUCACUGGUCCGGUACUGACGCUGAGGUGCGAAAGCGUGGGGAGCAACA
rnacentral:rRNA from 1 species